AUGGGGACUUUUCUUCUGGUACUGGAACCCUGGGCUGGGUGGGGGCCUGGUGUAGGGCUGGGACCCCUGGCUUCUCAGGGGGGACCUCUGCCGUCAAGAUUAUCCUUCCCAAUUUUUAACCACCAUACCGGGCUGUUUCAAAUACCUGCCCCAUCUACGAGUCUUGAGGGCACUACUUCUGUCCAAACGCACAUUUAAAUAAUUACCUUAUCAUAGUGUGAGAGUGAAAUAUCUUAAAUACAGUUUUUUGGCUUAAAAAAACUCACCAGAGGCUUUCCAACAUUAAAUUUGUUUUUGGUGAUUAUAGAUUGUUCAGGGCCCAACUGUACAUUUCUUCUAUGCAAAAGUAUGACAGCGUCCAGAUUUUCUACUCCUUGGAACUGCUGUUUGUUACAAGGAUGCAAAACAAGUGAAGAAAACAGUUACCCAAUUUCGUUAUUUGUAAGUGUGAUUAUUUAUGACUUGAAAUAUUUCUUUGUUAAGUUUCCUUCCAUUUUCCACAUUCCUUGGGUAUCAUACAUUGGCCUUACAUAAUUUGUGAUAAGUUAUACCAAACACAGACUUAAGCAGUAAAUACUUGUGAGAUUAACAUAUCCUUCCUAGGCAUGUUUGCCCAGAAGACUUUAGUGUAUUAAGUGAUCUUGCUUAAAUUCCUCUGCAUAACUAUGUAAUUCAGGCAGUUAUCUAUUGUCAGAUGUUUAGUGUUGUGAGAAUGGGAAUAAAGGUUUUAUGAUUUCCGUUGUAGCUCAGAGGAAUUUAGGCCACAGUGUAAAUUACCUGCCUUAGGUCUGCAUGCUAGUUUGUGGUAUGUAUCCCUUGUUUUUUGCUCAUAGUUCUGUAUCCUUAUCCUUAGUGUAUUGAUACAAUAAUCAAGACUAGCUUGACUUUUACUUCUUGUUUUUAUCAUUGUGAGGGUAUGUAGCUCUAGUGUUUUGCUAUGUUUACUAAUGAGUGAUUGAAUCAUUGGCCUAUGGUGAUUUGAAUGCAAUCCCUAGUUCCUCUGUCCUUUCCCCAGGGGCAAGGUAGAAAUGAAAGUUUCAAUCCUCUAAUCACCUGGUUGGUUCCCUUGGCAACCAGUCCCCAUUCUUAGGUUACCUAGGGGCUCUCCAAAAGUUGCCUCAUUAUUGUAAAUUCAGGUGUGGUUGAAAAGGCAUUUGUUAUGAAUAAGGCAACGACCAUGUCACCUUUAUACUCUGAAUAUAUUUCAAAUAUUAUAACAAAAUAUGCCUCUAUUGUUCUUACCCCUUAGGAAAUUUCAUGAUCUUAGGAAUCUUAGGAACUAUGACAAAGGAGCUAGGACAGAAGACCAAAAUACACACAUAUUAUAAAUCUCAGUAUUACA